AUUGAACGCUGGCGGAAUGCUUUACACAUGCAAGUCGAGCGGCAGCGCGGCCUUCGGGCUGGCGGCGAGCGGCGAACGGGUGAGUAAUGCAUCGGAACAUGCCCAGUCGUGGGGGAUAACACUUCGAAAGAAGUGCUAAUACCGCAUACGUCCUGAGGGGGAAAGCGGGGGAUCGCAAGACCUCGCGCGAUUGGAGUGGCCGAUGUCAGAUUAGCUAGUUGGUGGGGUAAAGGCCUACCAAGGCAACGAUCUGUAGCUGGUCUGAGAGGAUGAUCAGCCACACUGGGACUGAGACACGGCCCAGACUCCUACGGGAGGCAGCAGUGGGGAAUUUUGGACAAAGGGGGCAACCCUGAUCCAGCCAUUCCGCGUGAGUGAAGAAGGCCUUCGGGUUGUAAAGCUCUUUCGGCAGGAACGAAACGGUGGGCUCUAACAUAGUCCGCUAAUGACGGUACCUGAAGAAGAAGCACCGGCUAACUACGUG
rnacentral:rRNA from 1 species